rnacentral:rRNA from 1 species
AACGAACGCUGGCGGCGUGCCUAACACAUGCAAGUCGUGCGAGAAAGUUCCUUCGGGAGCGAGUAAAGCGGCGCACGGGUGAGUAACACGUAGGUAACCUGCCCCCCAGUCUGGAACAACUAGAGGAAACUCUAGCUAAUGCCGGAUGAGACCACGAUCCCUUCGGGGGUUGCGGCCAAAGAUGGCCUCUACUUGUAAGCUAUCGCUGAGGGAUGGGCCUGCGGGCCAUUAGCUUGUUGGUGAGGUAACGGCUCACCAAGGCUGUGAUGGCUAGCUGGUCUGAGAGGAUGACCAGCCACACUGGGACUGAGACACGGCCCAGACUCCUACGGGAGGCAGCAGUAGGGAAUAUUGCACAAUGGAGGAAACUCUGAUGCAGCGACGCCGCGUGAGUGACGAAGGCCUUCGGGUUGUAAAGCUCUGUUCUCAGGGAAAAAGAAAGUGAUGGUACCUGAGAAGAAAGGACCGGCUAACUUCGUGCCAGCAGCCGCGGUAAU